GCGAAAGUGGCGGAAUUGGCAGACGCGCUGGACUUAGGAUCCAGUGGCCCAAAGCCGUGGGGGUUCGAGUCCCCCCUUUCGCACCA
rnacentral:tRNA from 1 species